AUUGACGCUGGCGGCAGGCUACACAUGCAAGUCGAGCGGUAGAGAGAAGCUUGCUUCUCUUGAGAGCGGCGGACGGGUGAGUAAAGCCUAGGAAUCUGCCUGGUAGUGGGGGAUAACGUUCGGAAACGGACGCUAAUACCGCAUACGUCCUACGGGAGAAAGCAGGGGACCUUCGGGCCUUGCGCUAUCAGAUGAGCCUAGGUCGGAUUAGCUAGUUGGUGAGGUAAUGGCUCACCAAGGCGACGAUCCGUAACUGGUCUGAGAGGAUGAUCAGUCACACUGGAACUGAGACACGGUCCAGACUCCUACGGGAGGCAGCAGUGGGGAAUAUUGGACAAUGGGCGAAAGCCUGAUCCAGCCAUGCCGCGUGUGUGAAGAAGGUCUUCGGAUUGUAAAGCACUUUAAGUUGGGAGGAAGGGCAUUAACCUAAUACGUUAGUGUUUUGACGUUACCGACAGAAUAAGCACCGGCUAACUCUGUGCCAGCAGCCGCGGUAAUACAGAGGGUGCAAGCGUUAAUCGGAAUUACUGGGCGUAAAGCGCGCGUAGGUGGUUUGUUAAGUUGGAUGUGAAAUCCCCGGGCUCAACCUGGGGAACUGCAUUCAAAACUGACUGACUAGAGUAUGGUAGAGGGUGAUGGAAUUUUCCUGUGUAGCGGUGAAAUGCGUAGAUAUAGGGAAGGAACACCAGUGGCGAAGGCGACCAUCUGGACUAAUACUGACACUGAGGUGCGAAAGCGUGGGAGCAAACAGG
rnacentral:rRNA from 1 species